rnacentral:lncRNA from 1 species
GGCGCCCUUGCCAAAGGUCCAGCCUCUCCUCCCCUCCACUUAUGGAGCUGCGUGCAAAAAGUAGUCUCUCUUUCCCUGAAGCAUUGCACGAUCGAGCCGUCGGCUCCGCGUGCAAAAAUCGACCGCUUCCAGGCGGGGGCGGCGCAUGGAAGAUUUUGCAAGGAGGGGGAAACUUGCAGUGAGAGGGAAAUUCAGUGACGGGUCAUUUUCUCUUCCCGUUGGAAGAACAUGUCCAUGUUUACUUGUGUGGAUCUGAAAUGGAUUUCGUUAUUUAAAGCAUUAAAAAGAGAUUGUGGUUGUUGUAAACAAAAUCUGCCCUUUUCCCCUUAUGGGGUAUCCAAGAACAUGGUCAUCAACGCAAAAAGGAGCCCACAUAAAUGCAAGUGAGAAAACGGUCCCAGUACUGAAGCUUUCAAUAUUAAAAGACGCCGCGCAAAAUGAAAAAAGUGAUUGGAAGGGGGAAAGUAAGCUCUAUUUCUUCGUUACCCUGUGCAUUUAAAGUAUAGCUGAGCUGCUUCAUUUUAUUUAGGGCAUCCCUUCCCAGCAGGGGAUUAAUCUGAACUCAGGAGGGCUGGAUCCUGAGACCUGUUUACAACUGUGGGACUCAGUGCUGUGACAGCUGAAGUAGUAACAAGUAAUGGCUUCUGAACACCGUAAAGAGUAGUUUCCACCUCAUUAUUUAGCUACACAUCUGGGGAUCAAAAAGAAAAGAAGAAGAAGAAGAGUUUGGACUUGAUAUCCCGCCUUUCACUCCCCUUCAGGAGUCUCAAAGCGGCUAACAAUCUCCUUUCCCUUCCUCCCCCACAACAAACACUCUGUGAGGUGAGUGGGGCUGAGAGACUUCAAAGAAGUGUGACUGGCCCAAGGUCACCCAGCAGCUGCAUGCGGAGGAGCGGAGAUGCGAACCCGGUUCACCAGACUACGAGUCUACCGCUCUUAACCACUACACCACACUGGCUCUCUGGAUUCAAAAGGGCGUUUGAAUCCCACUUUUCAUUUUCUUAAGCUGUUCAGCCAUGAACCUUGUCAAGGAAGGAAUCUUUAGCUUCAGUUGUCCAUUUGUAAAACGGGGGUAAUGACACCAGGAGAUUACAGUUCCAGGUUGGUGGCUCCGUUUCUCAGUUAUGCCAAAACCAGAGUCCUCUGCCACCUUUAAGACUAACACCUGACCUCAAAAAGGUUGAGAUUCCUGCAUUAUACAGGGUUGGACUAGAUGACCUUAGGUGUACCUUCCAACUCUACAGGUCUGUGAUUCUAGAAGGACAUUGUAGAGCUAGGAAAGUUUCAAAAACGGGCAAUUUGCCUCCAGCAAGAUGUAGUGACACCCACCCACUUAGCUUUGAAUAAGGAUUGGUCAAAUUCAUGGGGGGUAAGGCUGUGUGUGGCUGCUAGUGACACAACGGUUGUAUUCUCCCUCCACUGUUCGAGGUCCUGUUUGUGGGCUUCCCAGAGGCAUAUAAUUGGCCACUGUGAGAUCAGGAUGCUGAAUUAGAUAUGCCACUGGGCUGAUCUUAUGUUCCUAUACAUCUAUGUUGUAAAAUGCAAGGGUGUUUUGUUUUGUUUUGUUUUUUACAGGAGUAUUCAACAUUAGGCUUUCUCUUGCCCUGCAACAGCAGUUUCUGACUUUGGAAGGCACAAUGGCCUUGGGGC